CGCGUUCAGAGGACAGACGUCCGUUGGAGGCCGGAGGGUUCCGCGGAAUGAUUAGAGCGUCGAACGCGCGUGUCCUUACUAAACUUUAGUUGUUCCGGUUCCACUGUGAAUACUGGCGGUUUACGUACUAGCACCUCCAUAGGGCCUGGGACAGCACAAACACGAUAAAUCAGUGAAGACAAAUAUGACUCAUAGUGUAUAAUUCAACAGAUUGUUUUACGAUAUUUAAAUAAAACUAAUAUUUGCUGAUGUUA